rnacentral:rRNA from 1 species
CUCGUAGGUGGUUUGUCGCGUCGUCUGUGAAAUUCCGGGGCUUAACUCCGGGCGUGCAGGCGAUACGGGCAUAACUUGAGUACUGUAGGGGUAACUGGAAUUCCUGGUGUAGCGGUGAAAUGCGCAGAUAUCAGGAGGAACACCGAUGGCGAAGGCAGGUCUCUGGGUAGUAACUGACGCUGAGGAGCGAAAGCAUGGGUAGCGAACA